AGGUCCUACUUACGUUUGUAGAAGCACAUCACCAGAGGAGCACUCAGGUCGCAGAGCCAUAUAGUAGUGAAUGGCUGAAAAAUCUUCUGUGUGAAUUGUAUCCCUAGUGCUUUUGCUAGGUGCAAAAGUUUUUGAGUUUGGAUCCCAGGACAUUUCUUCAGUUGCUGCGUUUGCUUCUGAGCUGUUUAUUGCUAAACCAUUCUGAAUCAUUGGUAAAGGAAACAGGAUUUGAGCGAUCUAAUUUCCUCUGGCCACAAGAAGCUUUGUCAGAACCUUAUUGAGGAAUCUAUUGGUUGUGGAAUACCCUGUGAUAUGCUUCCUUCCCAGGUUAUAGUCGCACACGUGUCUUUGCCCAAAGAGGAGCCUCUGAAUCUUGGAGAGCAGGCCCAGGAACUCCAAUGAGAUCUCCCAGACCCAAAAGUGACUAAGUUUUGUUACUUUUGUGUUCCAAACAAACCAAAUCAAAGAACAGCCCGAACAGCAGAUAAAGCACCAUUAUAUCCUUGCUAGUUGUUCAGCAACAGCUGUCUCACACAGGCUGAUUUUUGCAAAAAGUAUUUUCCUGCAUCACCCUCAGCAAGGCUGUCUAUUAGGAAGCUGUUUUUCUUUCUACAGUUGUGUUUUACUGGUGUUUCCUCUUUUGAAACUGAGAUAAAAAUACAUUUUUUUAAUCAAAAAAUGGCUGGAUGAAAAAGUCAGUCCUAUUUUGUGUUUUUGCACAUCACUCCAAGAUGCUUCAUUCUAUUAGUUGGCAGUUUUCUAGCACUCUUCCUGUUUUAUGAUUAAGUGAAUAAUAUUACACCUGGAAAUUCUCAAGGAUUAAUAUAUUAUAACCAUUAUUUCUAGGAUACAGUGUAGCCUUCCUUUCAUCUUGUAUUGGGUUUGCAUGGCAAGGUUUUGGGAGCGGGGGGCUACAGGGGUGGCUUCUGUGAGAAAUGCCAGAAGCUUCCCCUAUGUCCGAUAGAGCUGAUGCCAGCCGGCUCCAAGACGGACCCGCUGCUGGCCAAGGCCAAGCCCAUCAGCGACGGUGGUAGCACCUCUGGGAUAACAUAUUUAAGAAGGUGGACCCUCCCCCCAGCAUCAGAACAGCAGUGGAGAGAGGAGUGAGAAGAUGUGAGAGAAACAGCCCUGCAGACCCCCAGGUCAGUGCAGAAGGAGGGGGAGGAGGUGCUCCAGGCGCCGGAGCAGAGAUUCCCCUGCAGCCCGUGGGGAAGACCAUGGUGAGGCAGGCUGUCCCCCUGCAGCCCAGGGAGGUCCACAGUGGAGCAGAUAUCUGCCUGCAGCCAGGGGAGGACCCCACGCCAGAGCAGGUGGAUGCCCGAAGGGGGCUGUGACCCUGUGGAGACCUCGCGCUGGAGCAGGCUCCUGGCAGGACCUGUGGAUCUGUGGAGAAAGGAGCUCAUGCUGGAGCAGGUUUUCUGGCAGGACUUGUGACCCCGUGGGGGACCCACGCUGGAGCAGUCUGUGCCUGAAGGACUGGAGCCCGUGGAAGGGACCCACGCUGGAGCAGUUCAUGAAGAACUGCAGCCUGUGGGAAGGACCCACGUUGGAGAAGUUAAUGGAGGACUGUUUCCUGUGGGAGGGACGCCACGCUGGAGCAGGGGAAGAGUGAGGAGUUCUGCCCCUGAGGAGGAAGGAGCGGCAGAGACAACGUGUGAUGAACUGACCCCAACACCCAUUCCCCGUUUCCCUGCACCACUGAGAGGGGAGGAGGUAGAGAAAUCAGGAGUGGAGUUGAGCCCGGGAAGAAGGGAGAUGUGGGGGGAAGGUGCUUUAAGAUUCGGUUUUAUUUUCUCAUUAUCCUACUGUGAUUUGAUUGGUAAUAAAUUAAAUUAGCUUCCCCAAGUCGAGUCAAUUUUGCCUGUGACAGUAAUUGGCGAGUGAUCUCUCCCUGUCCUUAUCUCGACCCACAAGCCUUUUGUUAUGUUUUCUCUCCCCUGUCCAGCUGAGGAGGGGAGUGAUAGAGCGGCUUUGGUGGGCACCUGGUGUCUAGCCAGGGUCAACCCACCACAGUCCUUUUUUAGCACCCAGUGUGUCAUCCAGGCAAUGGGACUUAUUUCUGAAAUAACCUCAUAAACUCCUGGGCAAAGAAACAUGGCAUUGAGUGGGUGUAUCCCAUCCCCUACCACCCACAAGCCUCUGGAAAGAUUGAGAGAUAUAAUGGAUUUUUAAAGACUACGUUGAGAGCAUUGGGCAAUGGGGCAUGGAAGCAUUGGGAUAUAAAUUUAGCAGAAGCCACUUGGCUGGUUAACACCAGAGGAUCUGCUAACUAUCCUGGUGCUGCCCAGA